AGUGCUCGUUUACCUUGAUGUGUUUCACUUUUGGCCAAGUGGAUAGACUAAAGAACAAACCCACAGAGACCAUUUCAAGAAGAAAGACUAGAUCCCAUUUUCCACUGGAAAGACACUCAGAGAAUUUGCAGAUAUGUUUUAAAUCCAGCUCAGCAAAGGUGAAAGCUGUCAGAAAACAGGGAGAAUCUUGGGAAAUGGAACAGAAUUGAACAAACAUUUCAUAUCACCAAAGGGUCUCUGUUUUUCCUUUUUGAAAACUGGAGUGAUUGCUGCUUAGUAUUUACCCAAAGAGUUGAAAACUUAUGUUCAUGCUAAACCUGCACAUGGAUUUUAUAGCAGCUCUAUUUAUAAUUACCAGAACUUUGGAGUAAAGAAGAUUCCUUCCCUGGAAGAAUGAAUAAAAUGUGGUACAUCCAAAUAGUGGGAUACAAUUCAGCACUAAAAUGAAAUGAGCUAUCAGUGAUGAAAGGAUACAGGAAACUUUAAAUGCAUAUUACUGAAAGAAAGAAGCCAAUCUGAAAAAGACUACAUACUGUGAUUUCAACUCCAUGACAUUCUAGAAAAGCAGAACUAUGGAGAAAUUAAAAUGAUCACAGCUUGCAUGGGGAAAGGAAACUGAGUAGAUGAGCACAGAUUUUUAAGGCAGUGAAACUACUCUGUAUGAUGAAUACAAGUUGAUAACCAUUUGUCCAAACCCAUAAAAUGUACAUCAGCAAGAGUGAACCCAAUGUCAGCUAUGGACUUUGGGUGAUGAUGAUGUGUCAAUGCUUGUUCAUCAGCUUCAUCAAAUGUACCAUCUGGUGAGGGAUAUUAAAUUGGGGGGAGCAGUGUACCUGGGAACUAGGCCAGGGAAUAUAUGUAAAAUCUUUUCACUUUCCUCUGAAUUGUGCUGCAAACCUAAAAUUGUU